rnacentral:lncRNA from 1 species
GGAUUCCCAGGAAACCGCCCAGGGUUCCCCGUUUGGCUUCCCUUCCAUCUAAAGUCCUCCCCCAAGUUAGGAAUCGAUGUAGUUCUCCCCGGUGGUGAAGUCCACUUCCUCCUCCCUUCCCACUUCCCACAGCAAUUGGGGGGACACCCCGAGGCAUUCACCAUGGGCUUUUCCACCCGCCUGCGAGCGGGAACCACCUCCGUAGUUUCCUCUCAGAGCCGGGCGUGGAGAGGGCUGGGCCUGCGAAGAGGAUGCAUGGCCUGGAGGCUGGUGGGCGGCGGGCUGGAGUCGGGAGGGCGAGGCGGCAGCGCCAAGCGGCGAGGAAGGGCAAGGGGUUUCCCCACAACUGCCUUGGGCUCUGGGAGGCGGGAUCCCGCCUGGACGGGGUCCCUGAGGGAGGAGAGCGGCACACGACAGCCGCGAUGCCUUCCCUGCCGACGGGGAUAGCCGACUUCUGGCGAGUCGACCCCUCCCCCAAAUCCACCCCACCCGCGUACUCCCUCCUGACCUAGCUGUCGCGAGCCUGCCGCGAGGAGGCCAGGGUGAGGGUGGGAACACAUCCUAGAAGGCUAACACGUGGUUUUCUAUCAUUUAAGCCGGGGACAAGCCGGAAGGCUGACUAGCGCCAUCACUCUGAUAGGCACCCCGCAGUGGGGAUCCUGCUUGAUUAUUAAAGGCAGACCUCCAAGUUCCUCCCUGCUCUGCAACCUUUCUCCUCUCACGGGUCUGCAGUGUUUUAAAAGUCGUCAUUCUGUGUCGUUGAGUUAGAGAGGAAAACAUCGGAUAAAAGAGGAUCAAGAAGAACGAACCCUAGAUACAUCUGUCUGGUGAAAGGAGUCUAGGAAAAGAAGUUUCAUUCUCAGAACAAAUCUUUUUGGAUAUUUAUUAUGUGUAUUUUGUGUCAGGUUUCGGGCCAAAAAGCUGAAAUAAAGAACGAAGUCAAUAAUAAUAUGAAGUGUAUGAGAAAUAGCUGGAAAAUUCAUCAUCCAUGACUUGAAGAAAUUGACGUUUUACAAGUUAUAUUUUCGGUGAAGAGGCACUUUCAAGAUCCUUCUCUGAGACCUGCACCAAUAAGACUAUACCAAUGUUCAGUUGAAACAUCAGACACUGUUCUGGUUAUGAUGGACACCACAAUGAAAGAGACCUGGUCCCUGUCUUGAGGAAAUCCAACUGCUGGUAGAGAGCUCAGAGUAAUGAUUAGGAUGCAAUAUGAGGGAUGCAGUAAUUGGGCCAAUUCCUGUGGCUCUAAUGCAGUAUCAGGCACUAAUACUUAUGUAUGAGCAAAAAUUGAUGAGGAUGAUCAUGUUUUAAUACACCAGUACAGACCAAAAUGCCUCUUUGGUAAUUUUCAGAUCUACUUCUGGGAACCGUCACAGCCUGAGAAAGAUGGCAUGCCCUGAAUGGAAUUCACAGAGAAUUAUUUUAAGUCAUGCUACUGGCCCCGCCCAGUUAUGUAACAACUUGCAUUUCCUCAAUUCUCUGGAAUGUGGCCAGUCAGGAACUUCCACAUUUGGUUUUUUUUUUUUUUUCCCCCCAUUUGUGGGUAAGAAAGUAAAAGAGGCAGGAAAACUGAAUUGAGAAAGAAGAAAGAAUAGGGGAAGAGAGAAAGAAAAAAGAAAACCAUGAAGCCUGGAAGAGGAGAAAGAAGAGAUAGAUGAGCAAAGAAGCACAUUGCCUGGUGGUAGUAAUAGUUGUCAGACACCCAUCUAUUAUAAUCUGUUUUCCAUGGGAGAUUUUAAGAAGAGGCUAGAUCCCCAGUCUGUCUUAAAAUCAAGAAAAGGGACUCUGUUGCCUCUAAAGUAUACUUCCAGACUCAGCAAUCUCUAAAUUCUGAGUGGGGCAUCCCUAGUUUUGCUGCCUAAAAUCUAUGACAGUUGGAAAUGAUUCCAUUUAAGAUCCAGUUCAAGAAGCUAUACACCCUGAGGAACUUUAUAUUGCCAUUUAAAGGACUGAUAUUCUCCAGAUUGCUUGAGCCCAGGAGUUCGAGACCAGCCUGGGCAACAUGGCAAAACUCCAUCUCUACCAAAAAAAAAAAAAAAACAAAAUUAGCUGGGCAUGGUGGUACACAUCUGUAGAACCAGCUACUCUGGAGGCUGAGCUGAGAGAACCCCUUGAGCCUAGGAGAUGGAGGUUGCUGUGAGCCAAGAUCGUGCCACUGCACUCAAGCCUGGGUGACAGAGCCAGACCCUAUCUCAUAAAUAAAUAAAUGUCAAUAUUCUCCAAAA